UUUUGGAGUUUAUGGCCUGGUAUCUAGACCUUUAGGCCAAGUCUUGGGUAUUUUUAUUAGGUAUAUUAUAAUUUCCCAACUGUAUUUUUGAUGAAUUUAUAUAGAGGCACGUAAUAGGAUCUAUUUUUCAACAUAUCACUCAGGCGGCGGGAGGGAUCUUGCACUGUCAAUUGAUUUUGCAGUAUUUCACUAAUUUCACUGACAAGAAUCAAUCUGUCAAACGAAAAGCACUCACAUUUAAAUAUGAAAUGUUCGAUAUCACCAACAGAAUUAUUGCAGAAGGUGCAGUAGCUACUCUCCACUAUGCCCAACCGAGCCAGGUGGGCCGGGACGGUGGAGUGACCAAAACGCAGUCUGUUUAUAGUCGUAAUAAAGUCCCGAUUGGCCAUUUUCAAUUUGUUAUACCAUGGUGCCACAGUACAAUGAGAGGUAGAACUGGGAAAUAACCUCCUAAAAGAUCACCUCCCGAAGUCUGCUGAGCCAAGCAUUGUAUAGGAAAAGAUCUGACAAGAGAGAGAUGAAGCUGUCAGCACAACUUCGGCCUCUCCGGAAGCCAUAUUGAACAUGUGGAAUGAUGUUGUUCACCUCUACAUAAUACUCAAGACACAUCUUUAUCAUGUUUUCAUUAAGCUUCCCAACACAAGAUGACAAUGGUAUGGGACGAUAUGAGUUAGGAUCUUCAGGUGGCUUGUCAAGCUUAAGUAGAGGGAUAACACACUGUGUUUUCCAAGAUUUAGGAAUUUUCUUUAAGUGCCAAAGAGCAUUAAGAUUAGCUAAUAGUUUCUUUUGAACGGGCUCAUUUAGGUUUUUGAUCAAAAUGUAUGGACAAUCAUCUAAACCAGGGGUUGUGUUUCGUCUGGAUUGUAAACUUGUACAAAACUCACUCCAAGUAAAGGGUUCUAUGAGGAAACUGGACUUCUGAAGGCUAUUAUUAAUUUGAAAAUAACUUUCUAGAUUAUCAAUAACCCUACAUCCAUUUUGAGAUAAUUUUUCUAAGAGAGGGACAACAAAUUCGUCAUUACAUGUUCUGUUAUUGCAUUUUAUUCGUUUAAAUAACUUGAUGUAUUUCCAAAUAAUACUAACAGGUGUAGUUCUGUUAAAAUUAUUACAGAUGUUCGCCCAACCAUUGCGCUUAUGUUCUGAAAUAGUCUUUUUCUUAACAGCAUCAAUUCUUUUGUAAUUAAUGUAAUUAUCAAUGGUUGGGUCCCUUCUGUACUGUUUUAAAGCUUCAUAAGUUUUAAUAACACUCUGUUCACAUGUGUUACUCCACCAAGGUGCUGGAGGUUAGCAACGAUAGUUAUUUGCUUUGACAAACUUUGGCACAGUAUCCCUCUUAAGUGUAUCUAGCCUUUUGAUAAAUUCGUCAUAUGACUGUAAUGGAUUCUCAUUAUUAACUUCAAAAUUAGAAAAAACAGUUAUAGACAGCUCAUUGUAUUUCGUCCAGUCUGUCUUGUUGUAUAAGAAUUUUUCAAUGGGAGGAUUAAUUUGGUAUCUAUCAACGGACAAUAAAACACGAGUAAGCGUAGGAAAAUGAUAGCUCCCCAUACAAUCAUCAUGCACCCACCAUUCGCAUAGUGGAGUGAUUGGAGCACUACAAAAGCUGACAUCAAUAGCCGAUGGAUUUCGGUUAGGAUAAUUCAUAGUAGUGAAGCUACCAUUGUUAAGGACACAUAGAUCAAAUUCAUCAAAUAAACCUUUCACCUCUGAAGUAAAAAUAUGAUUUAAGUAAA